rfam:Halomonas sp. BC04 BC04_c59, whole genome shotgun sequence.
GGAGGGAUGGCAGAGCGGUUGAAUGCACCGGUCUUGAAAACCGGCGUAGGGUCAAACCUACCCAGGGUUCGAAUCCCUGUCCCUCCG